UGGGGGGCCUACGGGAGGCAGCAGUGAGGAAUUUUGCGCAAUGGCCGAAAGGCUGACGCAGCAACGCCGCGUGGGUGAUGAAGGCCUUCGGGUCGUAAAGCCCUGUCAGGUGGGAAGAAAACCUCGGGAUCGAAUAGAGCUCGAGCUCGACGGUACCACCAGAGGAAGCACCGGCUAACUCCGUGCCAGCAGCCGCGGUAAUA
rnacentral:rRNA from 1 species